GAUGAACGCUGGCGGCGUGCUUAACACAUGCAAGUCGAACGGGAAACCUUUUAUUGAAGCUUCGGCAGAUUUAGCUGGUUUCUAGUGGCGGACGGGUGAGUAACGCGUGGGUAACCUGCCUUAUACAGGGGGAUAACAACCAGAAAUGGUUGCUAAUACCGCAUAAGCGCACAGGACCGCAUGGUCCGGUGUGAAAAACUCCGGUGGUAUAAGAUGGACCCGCGUUGGAUUUGCUAGUUGGCAGGGUAACGGCCUACCAAGGCGACGAUCCAUAGCCGGCCUGAGAGGGUGAACGGCCACAUUGGGACUGAGACACGGCCCAGACUCCUACGGGAGGCAGCAGUGGGGAAUAUUGCACAAUGGGGGAAACCCUGAUGCAGCGACGCCGCGUGAAGGAAGAAGUAUCUCGGUAUGUAAACUUCUAUCAGCAGGGAAGAUAGUGACGGUACCUGACUAAGAAGCCCCGGCUAACUACGUG
rnacentral:rRNA from 1 species